rnacentral:misc_RNA from 1 species
AAGUCGUAACAAGGUUUCCGUAGGUGAACCUGCGGAAGGAUCAUUAACACCAAAACCUUUGUAUCCAAAAUCUUUUGGAUCACAAACCCAACCCGUACGAACCGUUUAUCUGUGUUGUCCCUUCUUUUCUUGGUCUUCACGGAUCAAGGGAAGUGGGUUGGAGUCACAUCCAGCCCUGUUUUUUCCACAAACGAUUCUGACUCUAACUGACUGAAACCGUGGGAUGAGGAAAGGAGGAAACUCCCAACCAACCCCCGCAAAAUCACUAAACGUGAAACAACUCUUAACAACGGAUAUCUUGGCUCUC